CGCCCCAGGGAUGGCGGCGGCGGGGCUGAGCCGGGGCCCGGUGAGUGUCCGUCAGUCCCCUGUCCCUCUGUCCUUGUCCUCGUCUCCCUCCCCCUGCUCGUGCUGCCCUCCCGGCCCGUUUCCCCCUUUGUCCCCCCGGUGCCGGUAACCGCGGCCCGCGCUCCCUCCCGGUGUCCGUCCCCGGGCCCCGUUCCCCACCGUCUCCCGGUGUUCCCCCGUUCCUUGUACCGCUCCCCGUGCUGCCGCUCCUCGCAAUGUCCCCCUGGCACAGGUAACCCCCCCGCCCCUCCGCAGGCCCCGUUCCCACCGCCCGAUCCUCCGGUGAUGGCAGCUCCCGUUCCCACCCCUCCUUCUCCCGGUUCGCCCGCAUCUCCCGGGGUUCCGCAGCUUCUUGUGCCCCUCUUCGGUGCCGGCAGCUUCUAUUUCCCUUUCCCCUCCCCUCCGCUCCCGGGGCUGUUUUUAGGGGUCCCCCCGGGGCUCUCAGGGCCGUUUCCCCCCAGCUGUUCCUGCGCUGCCGCUCCUGGCGGGGAGUCGCGCCUGGCGCGGCUGCUGCGGGAGAAAUUCCCGCGGGCUUCGGCCAUCAAGGUGGUGGGCAUCUCAGGUAGGGACCCGCUCCUGCUGGGCCUAAACCCGCUCUUGGUUACCCCAAACCCAGUUUUUUUUAAACCCAGUCAGUCUCCAUCCCCCCCAGGCUGCGGGGACCCCCAGACAGGGCAGGAGUGUGAGGGUGCUCAAGCCUUGACUUGAACUGACUUUAAUUGAUUUUAAUUGACGUUAAUUGGUGUUAAUUGUCCCGAGUUCCCAGGAGGCUGUGGUGACAUGUAUGAGAUCCACAUGGAGUCGGAGUUGUUCCGGGAGAAGCGCCCGGUGCAGCAGCACAGGAUGGUGACCCAGACGCUGAGCGAGGAGAUCACGCACAUGCACGGCCUGCGCAUCUUCACCUCGGCCCCCAAGGGCUGAGCCUGCCCCGAGCUCCAGGAGGGGCCCAGGGCUGCACUCCUGGGCGUGAACCCCACCCCGUGCUGUGUGCUCAGUCCUGGGGAUGGUUGUUGUUAUUAUUAUUAUUAGCCUUGGAGCCCAAAAGGGCCCUUGAAGGAGGGUUUUGGAGCCCAUGUUCUCAGAAGGGUCCUUGCAGAGGGCUUUAUUCCCCAGCGGGAAGGGCUGAGGGGAGUGGAGAGACCUGAGGGAAAGGACUGAGGGGAGCAUACAGGGCUGAGGGAACGGGAAGGAAUAAGGGAGAGGACUGAGGGAGCGGGGAGGGCUGAGGGGAGCAGGAGAUUGAGGGAACGGACUGAGGGAGCAGGGAGGGCUGAGGGGAGCAGGAGAUUGAGGGAGCGGGGAGGGCUGAGGGGAGCGCGGCCAGGCCGAGCCGGGCUGCUCUGAGGGAGCCCCACCCGCGCCGCCAAGUCUCGCGAGAGCUGCGGGAAAUGGCGGGAAUUUUGUGAAGGGGGCGUGGCCCUAUAUUGGGCGUUGCUGCACUGCCACGCCCACUCGGGGGCGGGGCAAGAAAUGAGCGCGGGAACCCCAAAAGUGGGAGUGGGACCCCAAAAAAAUGAGCCCAGGCAGACCAGAAGUGGGGCUGAGACCCCCAGGGACCCCUCCCCAUGGGCCUGGGACCCCCAAAAGUGGGGCUGGCUUAGGGUUAACCCCGACCUCAAACCCAGCCCCAACUGCAGCCCCUUCCUAAACCCACAGCCCUAAACCAAACCCCACCUUUAAGCCUGACCUUACAUUCAGCCCCCAAUUUUUAUUAUUAUUAGCCAUUAAACAAAAUCCAUAAUAAA